rnacentral:rRNA from 1 species
GAUGAACGCUGGCGGCAUGCCUAAUACAUGCAAGUCGAGCGAACAGACGAGGAGCUUGCUCCUCUGACGUUAGCGGCGGACGGGUGAGUAACACGUGGAUAACCUACCUAUAAGACUGGGAUAACUUCGGGAAACCGGAGCUAAUACCGGAUAAUAUAUUGAACCGCAUGGUUCAAUAGUGAAAGACGGUUUUGCUGUCACUUAUAGAUGGAUCCGCGCCGCAUUAGCUAGUUGGUAAGGUAACGGCCUACCAAGGCAACGAUGCGUAGCCGACCUGAGAGGGUGAUCGGCCACACUGGAACUGAGACACGGUCCAGACUCCUACGGGAGGCAGCAGUAGGGAAUCUUCCGCAAUGGGCGAAAGCCUGACGGAGCAACGCCGCGUGAGUGAUGAAGGUCUUCGGAUCGUAAAACUCUGUUAUUAGGGAAGAACAAAUGUGUAAGUAACUAUGCACGUCUUGACGGUACCUAAUCAGAAAGCCACGGCUAACUACGUG